rnacentral:tRNA from 1 species
GAUUCUAUGGUGUAGUUGGUAGCGCAAUUGUCCGGAAAACGGAAGUCGUAGGCUGGAAUCCUUCCGGAAUCA